UCGUCUUCUCGCCUUCCACAUCCGUGAGUUCUCUGGAACUUAAACACACCAUCUUCCAACAAUGAAAAGAACAACUCACCGUAACGUCUCCUGUCUCCUCUGUUUCUGGGAAGCUAGGAAUGCCAAGGUGGAAAGUUUAUGGGGAAUCGAUAUAGUUUUGGUAGAUGAGAAGUCUACGAUGAUCCACAUAUCAAUUAGCGUCCACCGCGUUGAACACUUUCCAACGCCUCCUCAGAGAGGGAUGUAGUUAUGAGCUGAGUUCAUUUUAUGUAACAAAGAGCAAUCAGUACUCUCAAAGAGGAAGCCAAAUAAUCAUGGCAAGCUCACGCCCGGCACUUACGAGGGAUUAGUUAAACGGACUUAGCUGGAGCUAUUAGUGCUACCCUCCUUCAGUCAAUAGGUGGGUACAUGUCGGUGAACAUGUUUAUUAAAGCUUAUGAUCGAGAGAUUAAAGCCGGUGUAUGUCUAAGGUUUACCAAGCGCAGGGGUUUGGAGUAUUGCUAAACUCGAGUGGAACAUGCAUAGUACAUGGUGGUUUCACCUUGAAGUAUUUGCUCUUAUCUCUCAGUUUCCUUAGCCAGUUAGUACAAAUGACUAUAAUCAUGGUCAUUGACAUGUGUAGUGAAGCUAAGCCAACGUAAGUGUGAUCAAUAAAAGUCGGAUCUUUUUUUCUCCGUCUCUUGGUUAUCAUUUCUGUCAUUAACUGGUUGAUUUUACUGCUGAUCACAUCUGUUUUAGGCUCUAGAUGUAUUGCCAGUGUGUUUACAAUCUCUUACGUACACUUUUUCCAUGUAUUACUCUCAUUCGUUAAGUCACUAUUAUUUGGACUGCAUAGUUUUUAUUGAUGCCGUACUCUUAUCAACGCAGACAGACCACCAGCAAUGGCUUCCAAAGAUAUUUGCAUUGACACUUUGUGUCCGCUAUAGUGUAUAACCACAGCGAUAUUUCUGGAGGGGUUUCCUUGGUCCAAGAUCCGAAUCAAAGAUCGGAGGCAAUGAAUUGUAUGAAUGACAUGAGUUGCCACAAUUCUUAGCUCAGGUAAUUUACUGUUACUAUCCCUUUUUCGAACCCUUGCAGUCGGAGGAUCUAAUUUGAAGAUGUAUCAAUCCUGCUAGAUGAGCUCAGCCUGUUGAAUAAUCGGGGUAGCUACACUGAUAUUUAGUGGAGUAAAUAUUAUCUUAUUCCUUUUUUAUUUGCUUUGACCAACAUGAUGAACCAAAAGCAAAGUUUAGUGGAGAGGGCAGCUCUAGAAGCCAAACAUCAGAACUCGAAAGUCGCAUCACCUUUUGUAUACCAAGUAUGAAAAUAGUGUUUGAUUCUGUGAUCAUAUGAAGUCCCAACUAAGAAAAGUUUUACUCCCUCUGUAUCAUUAUAAAUGAGUUUAAAGAUUUUUUCACAAGAAUUAAGAAAACACAAAAUUUUAUGUGGUU